AUUGUUCCUGAUAUACUAGAUGUCUAUACUCCUCUGCAAACUGAUGUUAUUGUUCCGCUUUCUGAGUGUCGUCAACAUUUAGAGGCAUUACUGGAAAGUAUUCCAAGCAUGUUUCAGAAUAGUAGAACAGCUGAAUCUGCAUUUGGUGCUGCAAUCAAGGCAGUUUUUUUGGCAAUGAAGAGCACUGGAGGGAAGCUUUUGGUAUUUCAAUCAGUGUUGCCAUCAGUUGGCAUUGGAGCUCUUUCUGCUAGAGAAGCUGAGGGAAGAAGUAACGUUUCUUCUGGGGAGAAGGAGGCCCACAAAUUACUUCAACCAGCAGACAAAACUUUGAAGGAAAUGGCAAUUGAAUUUGCUGAGUAUCAGGUCUGUGUUGAUGUAUUUAUCACUACCCAGACAUAUGCGGACAUUGCAUCUAUCUCCGUCAUCCCAAAAACGACUGGAGGACAGGUUUAUUAUUAUUAUCCCUUCUCGGCUCUUUCUGAUCCUGCAAAGCUUUACAAUGAUCUUAGAUGGAAUGUCACAAGGCCUCAAGGUUUUGAGGCAGUGAUGCGUGUGAGAUGCAGCCAGGGUAUUCAAGUUCAACAAUACUAUGGAAACUUUUGUAAGCGCAUUCCAACAGAUGUUGAUCUGCCUGGGAUUGAUUGUGAUAAAACUAUAAUGGUGACAUUGAAACAUGAUGAUAAAUUGCAGGAUGGCUCAGAGUGUGCCUUUCAGUGUGCCCUUCUU
rnacentral:misc_RNA from 1 species